GACGUAGGGCGCGAGCGUUGUCCGGAUUUAUUGGGCGUAAAGAGCUCGUAGGCGGUUUGUCGCGUCGAAUGUGAAAACCCGGGGCUCAACCCCGGGCCUGCAUUCGAUACGGGCAGACUAGAGUUCGGUAGGGGAGUCUGGAAUUCCUGGUGUAGCGGUGAAAUGCGUAGAUAUCUGGAGGAACACCGGUGGCGAAGGCGGCGUUCUGGACUGCAACUGACACUGAGGAACGAAAGCCAGGGGAGCAAACGGG
rnacentral:rRNA from 1 species